GCGUCCCCUGCAUCGGCAGGCGGACUCUCAACCACGGCGCCACCAGGGAAGCCCCAACGAGAGGAUUUUUAAGCUGCACACAAGGAAAGGAAAGAACAGUUGGUGACCUUGCCUUGGAAACGCGCUCUCUAACGACGAGGGCUCCAUUCAUUCACCCUUUCGGACGCUGACGCGCCAGGCGCCGUUCAGGAUGCUGACGACACACAGGGAAGCGGAGUGAGUGUGGGGACAGUCUCGAAGCAG